UACGUAGGUGGCAAGCGUUGCUCGGAAUUACUGGGCGUAAAGGGCGCGUAGGCGGACAGUUUAGUCAGAGGUGAAAGCCCAGGGCUCAACCUUGGAAUUGCCUUUGAUACUGGCUGUCUUGAGUUCGGGAGAGGUGAGUGGAAUGCCGAGUGUAGAGGUGAAAUUCGUAGAUAUUCGGCGGAACACCAGUGGCGAAGGCGGCAUCCUGGACCGGUAUUGACGCUGAGGCGCGAAAGCUAGGGUAGCAAACGGG
rnacentral:rRNA from 1 species